UGAGUGAAAACCAAGAAAGAAAAAAAAUGAUUUUGAGGAAAAAAAAUGAUUUUGAGGAAAAGAGAGAAAAUAUUAAUUUGGUUAUAAGAAAGGAAGAAAUGAAGAAUAUGUUAGCUCAAGAACCAAAAUUUGUACUUAUGUGCAAAGGAAUGUGUUUAGCAAUAGAACAAAAAACUAAUGAUGCUUUGCCAAGUGUUUUUAAGUCUCUUUUGCAGGAAUUCAAUGACAUGUUUCCACAUGAAGAUGCAUGUACGGGGUUACCCCCUCUAAGAGGGAUUGAACACCAAAUUUACUUCGUGCCUAGGGCAACUCUUCCUAAUAUGGCUGCCUAUAGGACCAAUCCCACCGAGACUAAGAACAUUCAGAGACAAGUGGAACAAAACUCAUGGAUAAAGGCUAUGUUAGAGAAAGCAUGAGUCCUUGUUCGGUUCCUGUGAUUUUGGUACCCAAGAAAGAUAACACGUGGAGGAUGUGUGUUGAUUGUCGAGCUAUCAACAAGAUAACGAUCAAGUCAACUUCCUAGGGUUCUUAGCUGGAAAGAAUGGAGUACAAAUUGAUGAAGAAAAGGUAAAAACUAUUAGAGAAUGACCAACACCAACAAAUGCAACCGAGUGGAAUAGGCAUAGGAGCUGUUUUAAUGCAAGAAAAAAGUCCAAUCAUGUUCUUCCAUGAAAAGCUUAAUGGAGCACAACUCAACUAUCCGACUUAUGACAAAGAGUUGUAUACACUUGUGAGGGCUUUGCAAGUUUGGCGACAUUAUUUGUGGCCAAAAGAGUAUGUUAUUCAUAUGGAUCAUGAAAGUUUGAAGCACCUCAAAAGCCAAACAAAGCUAAAUAGGAGACAUGCUAAAUGGGUGGAAUUCAUUGAGACAUUUCCUUAUGUAAUUCCAUUACAAAAAGGGGAAGGAUAACGUGGUCACAGAUGCAUUAUCAAGAAGCUUCUUCAAGAGCCGAAUACAUAAAAAGAAUUCACAAAAACAUAAAAGAAAGAAAUUGAUUUUUAAACAAGGUGACUGGGUUUGGGUUCAUCUACAGAAGGAAAGGUUUCCAAAUCAGAGAAAAUCUAAACUUCAACCAAGAGGAGAUGGUUCUUAUCAAGUACUAGAGCGGAUCAAUGACAAUGCAUACAAGCUAGAUCUCAAAGAUGAUCGCAGGCUGCCGGUUGAGUUGGAGGAACGUUUGAGAGUUGUGCCGUUACAGAGGGGGUUGUCUUGGAGCGUCAGUCUCGUUUUGGAGUCUUUUGUAUUCUCUUUUAUAGUUGUUCUCUUUGUAAUAUUUGAAACAUUAAACUUCUUUUUCUUCGAAUUUAAAAAUUUUAUGA